rnacentral:rRNA from 1 species
AGCCUGAUGCAGCGACGCCGCGUGAGGGAUGACGGCCUUCGGGUUGUAAACCUCUGUUAGCAGGGAAGAAGAGAAAUUGACGGUACCUGCAGAGAAAGCGCCGGCUAACUACGUGCCAGCAGCCGCGGUAAUACGUAGGGCGCGAGCGUUGUCCGGAAUUAUUGGGCGUAAAGAGCUUGUAGGCGGUUUGUCGCGUCUGCUGUGAAAGGCCGGAGCUUAACUCCGUGUAUUGCAGUGGGUACGGGCAGACUAGAGUGCAGUAGGGGAGACUGGAAUUCCUGGUGUAGCGGUGGAAUGCGCAGAUAUCAGGAGGAACACCGAUGGCGAAGGCAGGUCUCUGGGCUGUAACUGACGCUGAGAAGCGAAAGCAUGGGGAGCGAACAGGAUUAGAUACCCUGGUAGUCCAUGCCGUAAACGUUGGGCACUAGGUGUGGGGAACAUUCCACGUUUUCCGCGCCGUAGCUAACGCAUUAAGUGCCCCGCCUGGGGAGUACGGCCGCAAGGCUAAAACUCAAAGAAAUUGACGGGGGCCCGCACAAGCGGCGGAGCAUGCGGAUUAAUUCGAUGCAACGCGAAGAACCUUACCAAGGCUUGACAUAUACUGGACCGCAUCAGAGAUGGUGUUUCCCUUCGGGGCUGGUAUACAGGUGGUGCAUGGUUGUCGUCAGCUCGUGUCGUGAGAUGUUGGGUUAAGUCCCGCAACGAGCGCAACCCUCGUUCUAUGUUGCCAGCACGUUAUGGUGGGGACUCAUAGGAGACUGCCGGGGUCAACUCGGAGGAAGGUGGGGAUGACGUCAAAUCAUCAUGCCCCUUAUGUCUUGGGCUUCACGCAUGCUACAAUGGCCGGUACAGAGGGUUGCGAUACUGUGAGGUGGAGCUAAUCCCUAAAAGCCGGUCUCAGUUCGGAUUGGGGUCUGCAACUCGACCCCAUGAAGUCGGAGUCGCUAGUAAUCGCAGAUCAGCAACGCUGCGGUGAAUACGUUCCCGGGCCUUGUACACACCGCCCGUCAAGUCACGAAAGUUGGUAACACCCAAAGCCGGUGGCCUAACCCUUUUGGGAGGGAGCCGUCUAAGGUGGGAUUGGCGAUUGGGACUAAGUCGUAACAAGGUAGCCGUACCGGAAGGUGCGGCUG